rnacentral:rRNA from 1 species
AUACGUAGGGAGCGAGCGUUGUCCGGAAUUACUGGGUGUAAAGGGAGCGUAGGCGGGACGGUAAGUUAGGUGUGAAAUCUAUGGGCUUAACCCAUAGACUGCACUUAAAACUGCUGUUCUUGAGUGAAGUAGAGGUUGGCGGAAUUCCUAGUGUAGCGGUGAAAUGCGUAGAUAUUAGGAGGAACACCAGUGGCGAAGGCGACUUACUGGACGAUAACUGACGCUGAGGCUCGAAAGCGUGGGGAGC